rnacentral:rRNA from 1 species
CCUACGGGAGGCAGCAGUGGGGAAUAUUGGGCAAUGGGCGAAAGCCUGACCCAGCGACGCCGCGUGAGGGACGAAGGCCUUCGGGUUGUAAACCUCUUUCAGCAGGGAAGAAGCGAAAGUGACGGUACCUGCAGAAGAAGCACCGGCUAACUACGUGCCAGCAGCCGCGGUAAUACGUAGGGUGCAAGCGUUGUCCGGAAUUAUUGGGCGUAAAGAGCUCGUAGGUGGUUUGCCACGUCGGAUGUGAAAACCUGAGGCUUAACCUCAGGCCUGCAUUCGAUACGGGCAGACUAGAGUGUGGUAGGGGAGACUGGAAUUCCUGGUGUAGCGGUGAAAUGCGCAGAUAUCAGGAGGAACACCGGUGGCGAAGGCGGGUCUCUGGGCCAUAACUGACACUGAGGAGCGAAAGCGUGGGGAGCAAACAGGAUUAGAUACCCUGGUAGUCCACGCCGUAAACGGUGGGCACUAGAUGUGGGGACCUUCCACGGUCUCUGCGUCGCAGCUAACGCAUUAAGUGCCCCGCCUGGGGAGUACGGCCGCAAGGCUAAAACUCAAAGANAGUGCGUGNGAGAGCGACGACGACGACGAGGAGGAG